rnacentral:sRNA from 20 species
ACAACAAGAAUAAAAGCACGCAGCACACCAAUAAAAACAAUACGUACCGGCUCUGACAUAACAAGAACAACACGGACAGAGACGUAGCUAACAGAUUUUUUUGAAGUGGAUAGCUUUUCUGAACCACUUGCCCUGCAAGUCGUUUGCAGCCAGACAGAGAACAAUAAAACUGCCCUGAGGCAGCUCCGGAACUGGUUGAAUCGUUGCGAUAGAAAGCACGAUGAAAGUGACAUCAGCGCUCAAAAAAAUACGUUUGCUCUUGGUCCAGCCUCUGGACCGCUCAAAAAAGAUGUGAAGGGUCAGGUCGCCAAAAACAACAACAGGCCUCCCGAAAAACAAAAAAGAGCAUAGAGACAUACCUUGAAGGGGAGCCCAGGCUCCCCUUCGUGCUUUCCGACGUUUGCUUUUGCCUGCUCAA